rnacentral:rRNA from 1 species
GGGGGGUGCUAUACAUGCAAGUCGAGCGAAUGGAUUAAGAGCUUGCUCUUAUGAAGUUAGCGGCGGACGGGUGAGUAACACGUGGGUAACCUGCCCAUAAGACUGGGAUAACUCCGGGAAACCGGGGCUAAUACCGGAUAACAUUUUGAACCGCAUGGUUCGAAAUUGAAAGGCGGCUUCGGCUGUCACUUAUGGAUGGACCCGCGUCGCAUUAGCUAGUUGGUGAGGUAACGGCUCACCAAGGCAACGAUGCGUAGCCGACCUGAGAGGGUGAUCGGCCACACUGGGACUGAGACACGGCCCAGACUCCUACGGGAGGCAGCAGUAGGGAAUCUUCCGCAAUGGACGAAAGUCUGACGGAGCAACGCCGCGUGAGUGAUGAAGGCUUUCGGGUCGUAAAACUCUGUUGUUAGGGAAGAACAAGUGCUAGUUGAAUAAGCUGGCACCUUGACGGUACCUAACCAGAAAGCCACGGCUAACUACGUGCCAGCAGCCGCGGUAAUACGUAGGUGGCAAGCGUUAUCCGGAAUUAUUGGGCGUAAAGCGCGCGCAGGUGGUUUCUUAAGUCUGAUGUGAAAGCCCACGGCUCAACCGUGGAGGGUCAUUGGAAACUGGGAGACUUGAGUGCAGAAGAGGAAAGUGGAAUUCCAUGUGUAGCGGUGAAAUGCGUAGAGAUAUGGAGGAACACCAGUGGCGAAGGCGACUUUCUGGUCUGUAACUGACACUGAGGCGCGAAAGCG